UACGUAGGGGCAAGCGUUGUCCGGAUUUAUUGGGCGUAAAGAGCGUGUAGGCGGCCAGGUAGGUGGGUUGUGAAAACUGGAGGCUCAACCUUCAGACGUCGACCCAAACCCCUGCUAGAGUCCGGAAGAGGAGAGUGGAAUUCCUGGUGUAGCGGUGAAAUGCGCAGAUAUCAGGAGGAACACCGGUGGCGAAGGCGGGACUCUGGGCCGAUACUGACGCUGAGGAGCGAAGCGUGGGAGCAAACAG
rnacentral:rRNA from 1 species